UACAGAGGGUGCAAGCGUUAAUCGGAUUUACUGGGCGUAAAGGGCGCGUAGGCGGCCUCUGCAAGUCGACUGUGAAAUCUCCGGGCUUAACCCGGAAAGGUCAGCCGAUACUGCAGGGCUAGAGUGCAGAAGGGGCAACUGGAAUUCUCGGUGUAGCGGUGAAAUGCGUAGAUAUCGAGAGGAACACCUGCGGCGAAGGCGGGUUGCUGGGCUGACACUGACGCUGAGGCGCGAAAGCCAGGGGAGCGAACGGG
rnacentral:rRNA from 1 species